rnacentral:rRNA from 1 species
CAGUCGAACGAAGCACUUAUCUUUGAUUCUUCGGAUGAAGAGAUUUGUGACUGAGUGGCGGACGGGUGAGUAACGCGUGGGUAACCUGCCUCAUACAGGGGGAUAACAGUUAGAAAUGACUGCUAAUACCGCAUAAGACCACGGAGCCGCAUGGCUCAGUGGGAAAAACUCCGGUGGUAUGAGAUGGACCCGCGUCUGAUUAGGUAGUUGGUGGGGUAACGGCCUACCAAGCCAACGAUCAGUAGCCGACCUGAGAGGGUGACCGGCCACAUUGGGACUGAGACACGGCCCAAACUCCUACGGGAGGCAGCAGUGGGGAAUAUUGCACAAUGGGGGAAACCCUGAUGCAGCGACGCCGCGUGAGCGAAGAAGUAUUUCGGUAUGUAAAGCUCUAUCAGCAGGGAAGAAAAUGACGGUACCUGACUAAGAAGCACCGGCUAAAUACGUGCCAGCAGCCGCGGUAAUACGUAUGGUGCAAGCGUUAUCCGGAUUUACUGGGUGUAAAGGGAGCGUAGACGGCUGUGUAAGUCUGAAGUGAAAGCCCGGGGCUCAACCCCGGGACUGCUUUGGAAACUAUGCAGCUAGAGUGUCGGAGAGGUAAGUGGAAUUCCCAGUGUAGCGGUGAAAUGCGUAGAUAUUGGGAGGAACACCAGUGGCGAAGGCGGCUUACUGGACGAUGACUGACGUUGAGGCUCGAAAGCGUGGGGAGCAAACAGGAUUAGAUACCCUGGUAGUCCACGCCGUANACGAUGACUACUAGGUGUCGGGGAGNAAAGCUCUUCGGUGCCGCAGCAAACGCAAUAAGU